rnacentral:rRNA from 1 species
AUUGAACGCUGGCGGCAGGCCUAACACAUGCAAGUCGAACGAGUGGCGGACGGGUGAGUAAUGUCUGGGAACUGCCUGACGGAGGGGGAUAACUACUGGAAACGGUAGCUAAUACCGCAUACUAUCGGAUAACCCUUAUGGGAUUAGCUAGUAGGGGAGGUAAUGGCUCAUCUAGGCGACGAUCCCUAGCUGGUCGGAGAGGAUGAUCGGCCACACUGGGACUGAGACACGGACCAGACUCCUACGGAGGCAGCAGUGGGGAAUAUUGCGCAAUGGGCGCAAGCCUGAUGCAGCCAUGCCGCGUGUAUGAAGAAGGCCCUAGGGUUGUAAAGUACUUUCAGUCGGGAGGCGUUACCGACAGAAGAAGCACCGGCUAACUCCGUGCCAGCCGCCGCGGUAAUAC